GGAAGAGCAGGUGGAAAGAUUGCAGGAGCCAGAGGCGGUGGAUAUCUCCAAAGAAAUGGUGUCCUCCUGACACAACAGGGCUGAUGCUCACAUGAGCUCCCAGAGACUCUGACAGCGUGCUUAAGACCUGCACAGCCUCUAGGGGCCUGGACCUGACUGAGGAGGGGAGGAAAUGAAGAAAAGCCAGAAGCAUGGACACAUGGACAUACAGAAACCUGGGUCCUGGGGACUGGGCUCUCUGAUGGAGAAGCCUCAACACUCCAGAAGAUCAGCCCGUUUAUAGAAUUGAACAGAGAGCAGGGUAUGGUGGUCUGAAUGAGAAUGGUCUGUAUUCUCAUGUAUUUGAACAUUUGGUCCUCAGUUGGUGGAACUGUUUGGAAAGGAUUAGGAGGCAUGGCGUUGUUGGAGGAGACAUGUCACUGAGGGUGGGCUUUGAGAAAAUUCCCAGUGCCCUCUGUCUCAGCUUCAUGGUUGUAGAUCAAGGUGUGAGCUUUCACCUGUUCCUGCUAUACCACGUCUUUGCUCCACCACAAUGGAUUCUAACCCUCUGAAACCAUAAGCCAAACUAAAUGCUUUUUAAAACAACCAACCUUGGUCAUACUACCGCAAUAUAAAAGUAACUUAAGACCUGGGUAUUUUGCAUAUAGCUGAACAAAAAAAGUGAGGUUAUUUCAUAGAAACAGGAGGCAGGGUUAUUACAGACAGACAGGAAGACAGACAAGGAGGUAGGGAUAUGCACACUUGAAGAAAGAGAUGGGUCUAGCUAAUCUCAAUAGGUAUAGGCUCUGUAGAAGAGCAGCCUUCAGGCUGUAGACAUGGGGACAUCUUUUACACACACUCUCACCACCCACAUUUGGUCCCCAAAGAAAGACCUUGCCACUGCUCUGAGCUUCACCAUGUUGGUGAGCAGGGAGCUUUGUCCAUUCCCUCUGAGGUCAUUUAAUGGCCACACCCACAUCAGCAAUGCACAUUCAGUCAGGACUUCUCUCCCUGAUAAGGGUUAGGGGUGGUGGAAGUUUCCUCCACUCUCUACAAAUAUACACAAUUUUGGUUAAUUACAAUUUGUAUGUGUGAAGCAAAAGUGAUUACCAC
rnacentral:lncRNA from 1 species